GACGAACGCUGGCGGCGUGCUUAACACAUGCAAGUCGAACGGAAAGGCCCUGCUUUUGUGGGGUGCUCGAGUGGCGAACGGGUGAGUAACACGUGAGUAACCUGCCCUUGACUUUGGGAUAACUUCAGGAAACUGGGGCUAAUACCGGAUAGGAGCUCCUGCUGCAUGGUGGGGGUUGGAAAGUUUCGGCGGUUGGGGAUGGACUCGCGGCUUAUCAGCUUGUUGGUGGGGUAGUGGCUUACCAAGGCUUUGACGGGUAGCCGGCCUGAGAGGGUGACCGGCCACAUUGGGACUGAGGUACGGCCCAGACUCCUACGGGAGGCAGCAGUGGGGAAUAUUGCAGAAUGGGCGGAAGCCUGAUGCAGCAACGCCGCGUGCGGGAUGACGGCCUUCGGGUUGUAAACCGAUUUCGCCUGUGACGAAGCGUGAGUGACGGUAAUGGGUAAAGAAGCACCGGCUAACUACGUG
rnacentral:rRNA from 1 species